rnacentral:ncRNA from 2 species
CCCACAACAACAGGGCAUGGUUCUAUUUCUGUCCGGCCAAGCUGGACAGGGGAUCAAAUGGGAAUGUGGUGCAGGCCGAUCCAUAUAGGAGGCCAAAUGCCACAGCCGCCCCCGCGACUGUAAGCGGUGAGUGUUCGUCCAAUCCACUGGGAAACCGGGAAGGGGGCGAAGCGCACAUUGACCCGCGAGCCAGGAGACCUGCCAUGCGUAUUGAAACCGA